rnacentral:pre_miRNA from 1 species
AAUAACUUUAUUUUUCGUUUUUUCGUAUCUAACGUUUGACUAUUCGUCUUAUUUAAAUUUUUUUGUGAUUAAUAUUUUUAUUGUUACCGGAUAAUAAAAAUAUAAAUGGUACUUUAUAUGUGACUAUUUUUUUAAAUUUUUAUAUAAUUUUUUAAAUAAAACGAAUGAUUAAAUAUUAGACAUGAAAAAAC